rnacentral:pre_miRNA from 1 species
AAAAAGACAAACCCUGGUUUCCGUGCCCAACGUUUGACCGUCCGUCUUAUUUGAAAAAAAUAUGAAAAAAUUAAAAAGACAAGUCACGCAUAAAAUAUUAAUCAUGUUUUAUCAUCUAACAACAAUGAAAAUACGAAUUAUAAAAAAAUUUCAUAUAAGAUGAACAGUUAAAGUUAGACACGGAAACUCAGGGUUUGCAUUUUUU